GAGGAGGUCAUUUAGCCAUUUGAAUCAGCUGUGUUGGAUCAAGGACGCAUCUAAAACCUGCAGGACUCCGGCCCUCGAGGCCUGGAGUUCGACUCCUGUGUCCUAUAGGCUUAUUGGUGCAGCCCUCCACAAUGGUCUUGUCAUGAUCUGGCGUGUUUCCACAGUGUGGAAGUCGAAGUAAUCGGUACCCUGUACUCUGCAGGUGAAGAUGCCUGUGCGCGUGUCAGGAUGACCAUUUGUGUUGACCACAGCUUUUUGGUGAGAGAUGUUGGACAUGAAGCUAACAUCAGGGUAAUGGAUGGUGCGUUGUUGCUCAUUGACUCAACACAACAGACACGUAGGAUACCACACUGGACCUUUACAACCUGGUUCACAAUACAACUGACGUGAGCAUUAUUUGGUUUAACCAGUUUUUUAUUGCUGCUUUUGUUACACAGGUCACAGAGACCCAGAGAGCCUGUUUCUCAUGCUUCCUGUGUAUUUUCUAAGCAUCUGGCUUCUGGUUUGCAACCAGUUGGUUGUUGAGUUGGUUCAAAUAUUUAAGAAAGCAUGCUCACACAGAUAAUCCUGAGCUCUGAGAUAUUAUCUUUAGUAAAGCACAAUUGUUCUUGUGAAUAAGUGUUAAUUCCAAUUCUUUUUGUAAGUUGCUGCAGAGUCAUUUUGGUGUCCUCAUGCUUUCUGUUUCACUUUUCACUUCACUCUUUCAUAGAAUUAUGAUCUUCAACUAAACUAUACAUCUAUAACAAUACACAAAAUUCAU